rnacentral:rRNA from 1 species
AGAAUCAACGCUGGCGGCGUGCCUCAGACAUGCAAGUCGAACGCGAAAGUCCCCUUCGGGGGACAAGUAGAGUGGCGCACGGGUGAGUAACACGUAGGUAAUCUACCUUUGGAUGGGGAAUAACAACCGGAAACGGUUGCUAAUACCGCAUAAUGCAGCGGCACCUAAUGGUGACAGUUGUUAAAGCGGGGGAUCGAAAGACCUCGCGUCUGAAGAGGAGCCUGCGGCGGAUUAGCUAGUUGGUAAGGUAAUGGCUUACCAAGGCUACGAUCCGU